rnacentral:rRNA from 1 species
GACGAACGCUGGCGGCGUGCUUAACACAUGCAAGUCGAACGGAAAGGCCCUGCUUUUGUGGGGUGCUCGAGUGGCGAACGGGUGAGUAACACGUGAGUAACCUGCCCUUGACUUUGGGAUAACUUCAGGAAACUGGGGCUAAUACCGGAUAGGAGCUCCUGCUGCAUGGUGGGGGUUGGAAAGUUUCGGCGGUUGGGGAUGGACUCGCGGCUUAUCAGCUUGUUGGUGGGGUAGUGGCUUACCAAGGCUUUGACGGGUAGCCGGCCUGAGAGGGUGACCGGCCACAUUGGGACUGAGAUACGGCCCGGACUCGUACGGGAGGCAGCAGUGGGGAAUAUUGCACAAUGGGCGGAAGCCGUAUGCAGCAACGCCGCGUGCGGGAUGACGGCCUUCUGGUUGUAAACCGCUUUCGCCUGUGACGAAGCGUUAGUGACGGUAAUGGGUAAAGAAGCACCGGCUAACUACGUG